rnacentral:rRNA from 1 species
AGCGAACGCUGGCGGCAGGCCUAACACAUGCCAGUCGAACGAACUCUUCGGAGUUAGUGGCGGACGGGUGAGUAACACGUGGGAACGUGCCUUUAGGUUCGGAAUAACUCAGGGAAACUUGUGCUAAUACCGAAUGUGCCCUUCGGGGGGAAGAUUUAUCGCCUUUAGAGCGGCCCGCGUCUGAUUAGCUAGUUGGUGAGGUAAAGGCUCACCAAGGCGACGAUCAGUAGCUGGUCUGAGAGGAUGAUCAGCCACAUUGGGACUGAGACACGGCCCAAACUCCUACGGGAGGCAGCAGUGGGGAAUCUUGCGCAAUGGGCGAAAGCCUGACGCAGCCAUGCCGCGUGAAUGAUGAAGGUCUUAGGAUUGUAAAAUUCUUUCACCGGGGACGAUAAUGACGGUACCCGGAGAAGAAGCCCCGGCUAACUUCGUG